rnacentral:misc_RNA from 1 species
AAGUCGUAACAAGGUCUCCGUAGGUGAACCUGCGGAGGGAUCAUUAACACGUUUUCUUAACGUUUUUAUUAUUCUCCAACCAACCGCGUGAUAUAAUUGAAUCAAUUAAUCGACCUCUAUGAAUUAAAUCUGCUUAGAAUGCACGGAGUGAUGAGUAUAGAAUUACAAUUUUAUUAUUGUUUUGUAUACGGUGUCUCUAAGCUGGUAUUGUUAAACUAUAUAUAUAUAUAUAAUUUGAUAAAUACAGGAUUUCUUUCUUAUAGGCUUAUAAACUUUUAUUAGUUCCCUUCAUCGCUGGAACGCAACAAACCCCUUUCACCACUAUAACUAAUCGACUGAUAUGCAUAAAAUUAAAUGAGUAAAAUUAUUUAAUUUAGCAACUUUAAUAAUCAAAUUUAUCUAAGCACAACUCUUAGCAACGGAUAUCUUGGUUCUC